UAACACAUGCAAGUCGAGCGCUACCUUCGGGUGGAGCGGCGGACGGGUUAGUAACGCGUGGGAACAUACCCUUCUCUAAGGAAUAGCCUCGGGAAACUGAGAGUAAUACCUUAUACGCCCUUCGGGGGAAAGAUUUAUCGGAGAAGGAUUGGCCCGCGUUAGAUUAGAUAGUUGGUGGGGUAAUGGCCUACCAAGUCUACGAUCUAUAGCUGGUUUGAGAGGAUGAUCAGCAACACUGGGACUGAGACACGGCCCAGACUCCUACGGGAGGCAGCAGUGGGGAAUCUUAGACAAUGGGCGCAAGCCUGGUCUAGCGAUGCCGCGUGAGUGACGAAGGCCUUAGGGUCGUAAAGCUCUUUCACCAGGGAUGAUAAUGACAGUACCUGGAAAAGAAACCCCGGCUAACUCCGUGCCAGCAGCCGCGGUAAUACGGAGGGGGUUAGCGUUGUUCGGAAUUACUGGGCGUAAAGCGUACGUAGGCGGAUCAGAAAGUAUGGGGUGAAAUCCCGGGGCUCAACCCCGGAACUGCCUCAUAAACUCCUGGUCUUGAGUUCGAGAGAGGUAAGUGGAAUUCCGAGUGUAGAGGUGAAAUUCGUAGAUAUUCGGAGGAACACCAGUGGCGAAGGCGGCUUACUGGCUCGAUACUGACGCUGAGGUACGAAAGUGUGGGGAGCAAACAGGAUUAGAUACCCUGGUAGUCCACACCGUAAACGAUGAAUGCCAGUCGUCAGAGGGCUUGCCCUUUGGUGACACACCUAACGGAUUAAGCAUUCCGCCUGGGGAGUACGGUCGCAAGAUUAAAACUCAAGGGAAUUGACGGGGGCCCGCACAAGCGGUGGAGCAUGUGGUUUUAAUUUGAAGGAAACGCGCAGAACCUUACCCAACCCUGACAUACUCGUCGUCGCUCCAGAAGAUGGAGCUUUCAUUUAGUUGGACGAGAUACAGGUGCUGCAUGGCUGUCGUCAGCUCGUGUCGUGAGAUGUUCGGUUAAGUCCGGCAACGAGCGCAACCCACAUCUUUAGUUGCCAGCAGUUCGGCUGGGCACUCUAGAGAAACUGCCCGUGAUAAGCGGGAGGAAGGUGUGGAUGACGUCAAGUCCUCAUGGCCCUUACGGGUUGGGCUACACACGUGCUACAAUGGCAGUGACAAUGGGUUAAUCCCAAAAAGCUGUCUCAGUUCGGAUUGGGGUCUGCAACUCGACCCCAUGAAGUCGGAAUCGCUAGUAAUCGCGUAACAGCAUGACGCGGUGAAUACGUUCCCGGGCCUUGUACACACCGCCCGUCACACCAUGGGAGUUGGGUUUACCCGAAGGCCGUGCGCCAACCUUUCGAGGGGGCAGCGGACCACGGUGAGCUCAGCGACUGGGGUG
rnacentral:rRNA from 1 species